UUGUGGCAUCAGCAAUAGAAACAAUGACUUCCUAAGAGUUUUACAAAAAAGGGGAAAUGACACAGAACACCAAUCAAACACAUUACAUCAUGAAAAAGGUACAAAACAUAGUAUUACUAAAUGGUGGAAACAUACAAAUACAAUUACAAAACCUGAGGGUUCCUGGUUCAAUCCCCACCUUCUACCAACCUCGUCACGUUCGUUGUGUCCUUGAGCACGACAUUUCACCCUUGCUCCUGAUGGGUCGUGGUUAGGGUCUUGCAUGGCAGCUCCCGCCAUCAGUGUGUGAAUGUGUGUAUGAAUGGGUGAAUGUGGAAAUAGUGUCAAAGUGCUUUGAGUACCUUGAAGGUAGAAAAGCUUUUGCAGUACAACCCUGUGGAAGGGGCGUGGUCCACGCGUCCCCUGUGGGCAGAGUGUGUGCAGGAGACGGCUAUGAAGCAGCUGACAGCAGCGUCGAAGACCAUGAGGGGGAGGAGAAACGGGGAGAAAGCGGUCAAGCACGCACGCAGGAGCAAGAACAACACAAACAUGAGCUACGAUGCAUGAAAAAGCUAAAUAAAAGACUUGUCAAACCUGG